rnacentral:rRNA from 1 species
GGAAUAUUGGACAAUGGGCGCAAGCCUGAUCCAGCCAUGCCGCGUGCAGGAUGACGGUCCUAUGGAUUGUAAACUGCUUUUGUACAGGAAGAAACACUCCGACGUGUCGGAGCUUGACGGUACUGUAAGAAUAAGGAUCGGCUAACUCCGUGCCAGCAGCCGCGGUAAUACGGAGGAUCCAAGCGUUAUCCGGAAUCAUUGGGUUUAAAGGGUCCGUAGGCGGUUUAAUAAGUCAGUGGUGAAAGCCCAUCGCUCAACGGUGGAACGGCCAUUGAUACUGUUAGACUUGAAUUAUUAGGAAGUAACUAGAAUAUGUAGUGUAGCGGUGAAAUGCUUAGAGAUUACAUGGAAUACCAAUUGCGAAGGCAGGUUACUACUAAUUGAUUGACGCUGAUGGACGAAAGCGUGGGUAGCGAACAGGAUUAGAUACCCCGG